CACGCCGUAAACGAUGGAUGCUAAUUGUUUGGGGUAUCGACCCCUCGAGUAAUAAAGCUAACGCGUUAAGCAUCCCGCCUGUGGAGUACGGCCGCAAGGCUAAAACAUAAAGGAAUUGAC
rnacentral:rRNA from 1 species